rnacentral:rRNA from 1 species
AUUAGCGGAUGACCUGUGGCUGGGGGUGAAAGGCCAAUCAAACCGGGAGAUAGCUGGUUCUCCCCGAAAGCUAUUUAGGUAGCGCCUCGUGAAUUCAUCUCCGGGGGUAGAGCACUGUUUCGGCCAGGGGGCCAUCCCGGCUUACCAAUCCGAUGCAAACUGCGAAUACCGGAGAAUGUUAUCACGGGAGACACACGGCGGGUGCUAACGUCCGUCGUGAAGAGGGAAACAACCCAGACCGCCAGCUAAGGUCCCAAAGUCAUGGUUAAGUGGGAAACGAUGUGGGAAGGCCCAGACAGCCAGGAUGUUGGCUUAGAAGCAGCCAUCAUUUAAAGAAAGCGUAAUAGCUCACUGGUCGAGUCGGCCUGCGCGGAAGAUGUAACGGGGCUAAACCAU